UACGAAGGGGACUAGCGUUGUUCGGAAUUACUGGGCGUAAAGCGCACGUAGGCGGAUUUGUUAGUCAGGGGUGAAAUCCCGGGGCUCAACCUCGGAACUGCCUUUGAUACUGCAAGUCUCGAGUCCGAUAGAGGUGGGUGGAAUUCCUAGUGUAGAGGUGAAAUUCGUAGAUAUUCGGAGGAACACCAGUGGCGAAGGCGGCUCACUGGUCCGGUACUGACGCUGAGGUGCGAAAGCGUGGGGAGCAAACAGG
rnacentral:rRNA from 1 species